rnacentral:lncRNA from 1 species
UGGGUAUCCUUAGACCAUUAUAACAGAUCAAGACACAACUAUGAGGUAUUCCCCAAUAGAAAAAUUGAACCGUUCUCGCAUGGGAUAGUAGUCAAGUUUUCUAUCCUUCUAGCUACCAUCCCUCUAACUCUUUCUAUCGGGGUUCAUUGUUUUUGUGGUAUAAGAUCCUAGAAGCUAGAGGUAAUCCUAAUUAUCUAGUUGGAAAUUUUCCUUUAUACUUUAAAAUAUCCAGGAGCCUAUUCUUCUUGAGUUACCAUGCAUUGAAAAUGAUAUUUCAGAUUUAUUUUCGCUCACACUUAGGCCAGUGUUAUUUUCGAACUUUAUGAAAUUAAAGCUUCUUUGAUUUGCAGAAAACUAAGAGAUCGUGGUCUUUUUUUGCAGAAAACUAAGAGAUCAUCUGCAUAGGUUAGAUGGGAGACACCUAAUGUCCCAUGCUUCUUAAACAGUCUAAUUUAUUUCUUUUCUACUUUUUCUUCAAUUACCGAGGAGAAGUUUUAAUUGCACAAAGAGGAGGGUAAACAGACAAGGGUUCUAUCCGAAUUUUUGCAUGUGUCAAAACUUGGUGUUUCUAUCCCCAAGCUUUAACCAGUAGAUCUACUUCUUUGCCUUGUCUCUUCUUCCUGGUCAUGUAGUAGUGAUUUUAAAUUUCUUAUGAAAGUGUCUGCCCUAACCUGUGUUAUUAUAUAUAUUAGUAGAAUUGCUUAAUUUAUUUUCGCUCAUCCGUAGCUCUUCCUCAGCCUCGAUUAUAGCUUUCUCAGCUUGGCUUUUCGAUCUCCUCCAUCCUUCAAGCACCCUCUUUACGUUGUCCAAAUUCUCUGUGAACUUAUACAUUAUUGAGUCUGAAACAUUUACAUCCCAUGUUCUGGCUACGACUUCUCUUAAGUUUUCAUUUUUCAACAACGAGUUAGUGAAUCUGAAUGGCUUUCUUAAUUCUUGGACAUGUCUUAGUUCAAUGGUCAGACUGGCGUGGUCGGAUGUUACCACAUGAGUGGCAUUCUAGUUUAAACCCAUGCCAUAGAUAAAACCAAUCUGAAUUUCCAAAACCC